GAUUAUGGCUCAGGAUGAACGCUGGCGGCGUGCCUAACACAUGCAAGUCGAACGGAAGGUAAGCGCUUCGGAGGCUUCGGCCAAUGUAUACUUAUCUUUAGUGGCGGACGGGUGAGUAACGCGUGGAUAACCUGCCAUAUACAGGGGGAUAACAGUUAGAAAUGACUGCUAAUACCGCAUAAGCGCACGGAAACGCAUGUUUCAGUGUGAAAAAACUCCGGUGGUAUAUGAUGGAUCCGCGUCUGAUUAGCCAGUUGGCGGGGUAACGGCCCACCAAAGCGACGAUCAGUAGCCGGCCUGAGAGGGUGAACGGCCACAUUGGGACUGAGACACGGCCCAAACUCCUACGGGAGGCAGCAGUGGGGGAUAUUGCACAAUGGGGGAAACCCUGAUGCAAGCGACGCCGCGUGAGUGAAGAAGUAUUUCGGUAUGUAAAGCUCUAUCAGCAGGGAAGAUAAUGACGGUACCUGACUAAGAAGCACCGGCUAAAUACGUGCCAGCCGCCGC
rnacentral:rRNA from 1 species